CUUGGAGGAGCCCAGUGACCUUGAGGAGCUUGAGCAGUUUGCCAAGACCUUCAAACAAAGACGAAUCAAACUUGGAUUCACUCAGGGUGAUGUUGGGCUCGCUAUGGGGAAACUAUAUGGAAAUGACUUCAGCCAAACUACCAUCUCUCGAUUUGAAGCCUUGAACCUCAGCUUUAAGAACAUGUGCAAGUUGAAGCCACUUUUAGAGAAGUGGCUAAAUGAUGCAGAACCUUGAAGCUUACUAAUCCUGGGAGGAUCAUUAUAAAUUAUGGUGAUAUAAAUCAGAAAGCUGAUUCAUUUAAAUAUUCUAGUAAUUACAGUAUAAAUAAUUAGCCGUAAUUUUUAGCCUGAAAUACUCUUGUAUUUGAGCCAGGAUUAGGAACACACACACACACACACACACAGUUGAAGGAAUAGGAUAAGUAAGGCUUUUGUAUUUAGAUAAGCUUGAAGUAGAAGCUUAUUGUUUCUUCCUUGAUGAAUUAUCAUAGAACUUGUUCUUGCAAUAGUUCUGCUUUUG
rnacentral:lncRNA from 1 species